GGAGGCAGCAGUGGGGAAUAUUGGACAAUGUGGGGAACCCUGAUCCAGGCAUGCCGCGUGUGUGAUGUUGGCCUUAUGGUAGUAACUCUCUUUAAGCGAGGAGGAGGCUCUUUUGGUUAAUACCCAAGAUGAGUGGACGUUACUCGCAGAAUAAGCACCGGCUAACUCUGUGCCAGCAGCCGCGGUAAUACAGAGGGUGCGAGCGUUAAUCGGAUUUACUGGGCGUAAAGCGUGCGUAGGCGGCUUUUUAAGUCGGAUGUGAAAUCCCCGAGCUUAACUUGGGAAUUGCAUUCGAUACUGGGAAGCUAGAGUAUGGGAGAG
rnacentral:rRNA from 1 species